CAGGCUUAACACAUGCAAGUCGAGGGGCAGCAUGGUCUUAGCUUGCUAAGGCCGAUGGCGACCGGCGCACGGGUGAGUAACACGUAUCCAACCUGCCGUCUACUCUUGGACAGCCUUCUGAAAGGAAGAUUAAUACAAGAUGGCAUCAUGAGUCCGCAUGUUCACAUGAUUAAAGGUAUUCCGGUAGACGAUGGGGAUGCGUUCCAUUAGAUAGUAGGCGGGGUAACGGCCCACCUAGUCUUCGAUGGAUAGGGGUUCUGAGAGGAAGGUCCCCCACAUUGGAACUGAGACACGGUCCAAACUCCUACGGGAGGCAGCAGUGAGGAAUAUUGGUCAAUGGGCGAGAGCCUGAACCAGCCAAGUAGCGUGAAGGAUGACUGCCCUAUGGGUUGUAAACUUCUUUUAUAAAGGAAUAAAGUCGGGUAUGGAUACCCGUUUGCAUGUACUUUAUGAAUAAGGAUCGGCUAACUCCGUGCCAGCAGCCGCGGUAAUACGGAGGAUCCGAGCGUUAUCCGGAUUUAUUGGGUUUAAAGGGAGCGUAGAUGGAUGUUUAAGUCAGUUGUGAAAGUUUGCGGCUCAACCGUAAAAUUGCAGUUGAUACUGGAUAUCUUGAGUGCAGUUGAGGCAGGCGGAAUUCGUGGUGUAGCGGUGAAAUGCUUAGAUAUCACGAAGAACUCCGAUUGCGAAGGCAGCCUGCUAAGCUGCAACUGACAUUGAGGCUCGAAAGUGUGGGUAUCAAACAGGAUUAGAUACCCUGGUAGUCCACACGGUAAACGAUGAAUACUCGCUGUUUGCGAUAUACUGCAAGCGGCCAAGCGAAAGCGUUAAGUAUUCCACCUGGGGAGUACGCCGGCAACGGUGAAACUCAAAGGAAUUGACGGGGGCCCGCACAAGCGGAGGAACAUGUGGUUUAAUUCGAUGAUACGCGAGGAACCUUACCCGGGCUUAAAUUGCAGAUGAAUUACGGUGAAAGCCGUAAGCCGCAAGGCAUCUGUGAAGGUGCUGCAUGGUUGUCGUCAGCUCGUGCCGUGAGGUGUCGGCUUAAGUGCCAUAACGAGCGCAACCCUUGUUGUCAGUUACUAACAGGUUCCGCUGAGGACUCUGACAAGACUGCCAUCGUAAGAUGUGAGGAAGGUGGGGAUGACGUCAAAUCAGCACGGCCCUUACGUCCGGGGCUACACACGUGUUACAAUGGGGGGUACAGAGGGCCGCUACCACGCGAGUGGAUGCCAAUCCCCAAAACCUCUCUCAGUUCGGACUGGAGUCUGCAACCCGACUCCACGAAGCUGGAUUCGCUAGUAAUCGCGCAUCAGCCACGGCGCGGUGAAUACGUUCCCGGGCCUUGUACACACCGCCCGUCAAGCCAUGGGAGCCGGGGGUACCUGAAGUGCGUAACCGCGAGGAGCGCCCUAGGGUAAAACUGGUGACUGGGGCUAAGUC
rnacentral:rRNA from 2 species